CAGGAGCUCACCCCCGGCUCUCAUGGAGGCAUCUCUAACCAGGGUUGUGUUGGUAUCUGAAUCCCCAUCACUGACCCAGCCUGAUCCAGAAGACGUUAAAUGAGCCUUUGAUGGAGGGACUGUCCGUUGUUGGUUGGGACUUCAUAGGUGAGAUCCAUGCUGAAAAGGCUUCUGGAGAGGGACCCUGCACCUUAGUUCCCUGAAAGAAGCAGAGAUGUUUACAAAGUAUGAAGGGAAAGCCAUUGGACAGAUUUCACAUGGAAGUGAUUGUAUCUGAUCACUCCAGCAACUGGGUAGAGAGCAGUGUACCAGAGACAACAUCUGCCAAGUGGUUUAGAGUGAACAGAGGUGAAACCUACAUGGGAAACCACAUGGCAUCUGAGAAAACUGGGUGGGGUUGAAUGGACCUGGAUUUGAAUCCUGACUUUGUGACUUACUCAUUCUGUAACUUGGGCAAGUUAUUUAACA